rnacentral:rRNA from 1 species
UACGAAGGGGGCUAGCGUUGUUCGGAUUUACUGGGCGUAAAGCGCACGUAGGCGGAUCGUUAAGUCGGGGGUGAAAUCCUGGAGCUCAACUCCAGAACUGCCUUCGAUACUGGCGAUCUCGAGUCCGGAAGAGGUGAGUGGAACUCCUAGUGUAGAGGUGGAAUUCGUAGAUAUUAGGAAGAACACCGGUGGCGAAGGCGGCUACACUGGUCCGGUACUGACGCUAAGGCGCGAAAGCGUGGGGAGCGAACAGG